CCUACGGGAGGCUGCAGUGGGGAAUAUUGCACAAUGGGGGGUACCCUGAUGCAGCGACGCCGCGUGGGUGAAGGAGUAUUUCGGUAUGUAAAGCCCUAUCAGCAGGGAAGAACAAUGACGGUACCUGACUAAGAAGCACCGGCUAAAUACGUGCCAGCAGCCGCGGUAAUACGUAUGGUGCAAGCGUUAUCCGGAUUUACUGGGUGUAAAGGGAGCGCAGGCGGCGCGUUAAGCCUGGUGUGAAAGCCCGCGGCCCAACCGCGGGACUGCAUUGGGAACUGGCGCGCUGGAGUGACGGAGGGGUAGGCGGAAUGCCUAGUGUAGCGGUGAAAUGCGUAGAGAUUAGGAGGAACACCAGUGGCGAAGGCAUCUCACGAAUCCGCGAUUGACGCUGAUGCACGAAAGCGUGGGUAUCAAACAGGAUUAGAUACCCGAGUAGUC
rnacentral:rRNA from 1 species